GACAAUUAUUUUGAGAUGAAGGGAGUAGUAAUUAUAAUUAUAAUGAAAAUAAUAAAGUUUAUAUGAAAAGAUAAAAUUAAAAAUGAUUUUGAUUUGACAAAAAAGGAAGCAACCAUAGUUGUAACAUAUGAUAUUCACUUAAGUGAUAAGCAAACUUUUAACCAUAAAAAAAAAUACAAUAUUAAAAAAGAAGAAGAGAAAUGGGAUAGAAAACAUAAACUUUUAAUAUUUUAUUAGGGAUAAAUUAUAAUUUUUAUUAAAAAAUUAAAUAUAAUAAAUUAUAUUUUAACAUCCCUCUCCUCCCCUCAC
rnacentral:lncRNA from 1 species